rnacentral:siRNA from 1 species
CACAUAGUAUGAAUUGUGGGACA